GCUGGGUGUGGUGGCGUGCGCCUGUAAUCCCAGCUACUUGGGAGGCUGAGACAGGAUAAUCACUUGAUCCCAGGAGGCGGAGGUUGCAGUGAGCCAAGAUCACACCACUGCCCUCCAGCCUGGGCAAUAGAGCGAGACUCUGUCUCAA
rfam:Homo sapiens chromosome X, GRCh38 reference primary assembly.